rnacentral:rRNA from 1 species
GAGUUUGAUCGUGGCUCAGAACGAACGCUGGCGGCGUGGAUAAGACAUGCAAGUCGAACGGGACUUGAUUUGUAGCAAUACAGAUUAAGUUCAGUGGCGCAAGGGUGCGUAACACGUGGGCAAUCUGCCGGGAAAUGGGGGAUAGCUCGCCGAAAGGCGAAUUAAUACCGCAUGUGGCAAGGGAGGACAUCCUUCCAAAGCUAAAGUCGGGGCAACCUGACGUUUCCUGAUGAGCCCGCGGCCUAUCAGCUAGUUGGUGAGGUAACGGCUCACCAAGGCGAUGACGGGUAGCUGGUCUGAGAGGACGACCAGCCACACUGGAACUGAGACACGGUCCAGACACCUACGGGUGGCAGCAGUCGAGAAUUUUUCUCAAUGGGGGAAACCCUGAAGGAGCGACGCCGCGUGGAGGAUGAAGGUCUUCGGAUUGUAAACUCCUGUCAUGAGGGAGCAAACCUGCGGGUAGUAACUGACCUGCAGCUGAUAGUACCUCAAGAGGAAGGGACGGCUAACUCU